GAGGGAACCUCCCAGAACAACUCACGAGGAGAGGAGGAAGUGGAUCCUUCCAUCGGGGAAACUGGAAUGCUUGCGUAGGCAGAAUAACGUAAACAUAAGCUGGAGUACCACCUAUUUGCACAAAGACGAAUACCCACACUUAAAAUGCAGAAUAAAAGAUUCAAUUAAAGCGUUAAAAUAGGUACACAUAAUAAAAAUGUGCAGCAAAGCAAUCCUAUUGAAAUAACACAGAAAUUAAAAGGAAUGAAAUAACAGAGCAUUGUGUAGCAGAUCAUAUUUCUGCUGUCUCAGAGGAGGACAUUUCCCUUUUUCUUUUAGGGUCCAGUGUGCUUUGAAGAUGUCGCUGUUCGUUUCACGGACGAGGAGUGGGAGUUGCUGGAUCCUGACCAGAGAGCUCUGCAUAAGGACGUAAUGGAGGAGAAUUGGGGGAUCGUGGCCUCUCUUGGUAAGCCUCCGUGUGGGACCGUGUGAGAUCGUCCUAUCUGCCAGGAAAUUCAAAAAAUACCUCUAUGUGACAAACCUCAUAUAUUUUCUCAGCGCCCCCUACGACACCUGGGAACCUUACACCCCCACAAGAAA